GCGCUACGGGGUCCAGGGAGAAGGGGCGCCGGGGGCAGCGUCCACCUUGGGGUUUGUUGGCUCAGGGCAGCUCGAUGACCCCGCCUCCGGGGCCCAGUGUGCGUAGUGACUCAGUGUACACCCUUUCCUCGUCAAGAAACGCUUGAGAAAGUGGCGAAGGAGCCCUACGGGGGCCUCGGUUGGACCCUGCUUCUUCGGUCCCUCAGCUUCGGCCAGCGACGGUCUCCUGGCCCCUGGUCCGGGUCACCUUAGGGGGCAGGAGGAGGUGUGGUCAGUGUGGGAGUCUGGAGGGGCCAUGCACUUCCGGAGAAGACCACUGACUCGUGGCUUUGGUGGAGGGGCGCAGGUAGAUUUAGUUAGGCUCUCCCCCAUCCCUGACACACCGGUGCCAGGGCGGGAGUGGGGCUUGUGACCACUCCGGAGAGCUCUGGGGGCCCCUGCUCUGGGACUCCGCACGGAUAGUCACUGUCUCAGAGUGCAUUCUCCAGGGGCCACUCUCCUGGGGGCACUGUAGGGGUCCCAGGGCAGGUGGGCAGCCUUUCUCCGGGGCGGCGUGAGAGCCGGAGAGCAGGGGGCGGGGCGGGCCCGGCUCGGGCUCACGUCUGCGUUGAAACCGCUGGGGAAGGAGAGAGAAAUCGAGAGAACCGGUUCCCCCGCCUUGACAGCGGAGGCCCCCACACCAAGGCCCUCGGACUAAGCGGGGCAGGGACAGCCCCCAGGUAGAGCUGUUCACCGGGGCGCCUGCAGAGCCCGCAUCCCAACCCCGACCCAGGGGCCGGGGCGCAGGCUCGCGGAGGGAGGCGUCCAGGUGGGACAGGGCCCGGGGAACGGCAGGAAAUGGGCUGCUUUUCCUACUUGACUGACGGGAAAACUAAGGCUCAGUCAACUAUUAAGCAAGCGUGGUGUCGACCUUAGAGCAGGACGGAAGCGAGGCUCAAAUCUUAGAAUCAGCCCCACGGAAUGAAGGGGUUGUCCUAAUUCCAGCACUGAGUGAAAACGCCGCGGCCGC